rnacentral:rRNA from 1 species
UGCCAAGUCGAGCGAACAGACGAGGAGCUUGCUCCUUCGACGUUAGCGGCGGACGGGUGAGUAACACGUAGGUAACCUACCUAUAAGACUGGGAUAACUUCGGGAAACCGGAGCUAAUACCGGAUAAUAUUUCGAACCGCAUGGUUCGAUAGUGAAAGAUGGCUUUGCUAUCACUUAUAGAUGGACCUGCGCCGUAUUAGCUAGUUGGUAAGGUAACGGCUUACCAAGGCAACGAUACGUAGCCGACCUGAGAGGGUGAUCGGCCACACUGGAACUGAGACACGGUCCAGACUCCUACGGGAGGCAGCAGUAGGGAAUCUUCCGCAAUGGGCGAAAGCCUGACGGAGCAACGCCGCGUGAGUGAUGAAGGUCUUCGGAUCGUAAAACUCUGUUAUUAGGGAAGAACAAACGUGUAAGUAACUGUGCACGUCUUGACGGUACCUAAUCAGAAAGCCACGGCUAACUACGUGCCAGCAGCCGCGGUAAUACGUAGGUGGCAAGCGUUAUCCGGAAUUAUUGGGCGUAAAGCGCGCGUAGGCGGUUUUUUAAGUCUGAUGUGAAAGCCCACGGCUCAACCGUGGAGGGUCAUUGGAAACUGGAAAACUUGAGUGCAGAAGAGGAAAGUGGAAUUCCAUGUGUAGCGGUGAAAUGCGCAGAGAUAUGGAGGAACACCAGUGGCGAAGGCGACUUUCUGGUCUGUAACUGACGCUGAUGUGCGAAAGCGUGGGGAUCAAACAGGAUUAGAUACCCCUGGUA